UGUCCCCUGGAGUGCAGGCCACUCUAACUAUGUCCUCGAGCCUGAAUUACUUUUCGGGGGUUUCUCGCUAGCGCUGUUGUGCAUGUCCGCCUGACGGAAAGCCUGAUGCUCUUCAGAAACCACCACCUUGAACCUCUGGGUUCAGGGCUUACGUUAGAAGCGGCACUCUGGGAGGCAU
rnacentral:other from 1 species